UUAAAUUAUAAAUUAAGGUAUAAAUCAGUAUUUUUUUGAACAGCAGCUUGGCAAUAACAAUUGAAAUUCAAGUGUGUAAACAUUUGAAAUGGUGUAACUUGCAGCUGUGAUUUUAUCUAUUUCAAGUUUCAAAUUUACAAUUAAGUAUGUUAUAUAUUGAGUAUAACAAUCGUUGGGGCAUCUGAAAUAUACACCAAUAAAAGAUUAUAAUGGUUGCAGCUAAUCAUAUGAAUAUAAUUUAGACACUGGAAUAUGUUCUGGUACAAAAGGGUGUUUUGUGUGGAUAUUUAAAAUUAUGCCAUUUUUUUGAACAAACAUCAACUAAUAGUGUGUUUACAAAGGUGUGACCAUAUGCCUCUCAAAGUUCUAAUUGGAAGUGUAAAUUACUGUUUCUGAGGAAUGUAAUUAUUCUGACAUGAUUAUAGAAUUAAGUAACGCUAACUCAUCUGUGUUACUAUAAUGGUGAUUAUUUCAGUAUUCUUAAAAUUCUUGUACUUUGUAAGUUGUAUAGUAAAACAUUGUUUAUUGUUUGUAUAUUGCUACUUGACAAUCUGAAAUAAAUAUGAGUUGUUGGAUAUAAAGGUGUCUGGAAGAAUAGAUGGCAAAAAUUUAACAGUACUGUAUAGAGAGAUGGGAAUGGAGGACUGCUUCUACUUCCUGCAUUUUGGAUUUUAAAGGUAUUUCAAAAGGAACAUUUAAACAACAAAAAGGGGAUUUUAAAGAUACAUCCAAUUUGUGCCUGUCUUCAUCCUUGCCUGUCAACAUCUUGGGAGUAUUGGGUUGUUGUAUCCAGUUUUGUAUUCCCAGUGGCCAUUAUGAGUUGUUUGUGAGUGAUCAUGAAGAGCAUAUGGUUUAGAGACUAGUGCAGCAGAGAGUUUUACACACGGAAACAGCAUUGUGGGACUCAAGGAAAGAAUAUGGGAGAAGAUGUGAUUUGAGAUGAACACAAUGAAAGGAGGAGAUUUACAGAUAAUCUGAGGCAGCUGACACUCCUCAUCCUAUGGUCUUUCUUAAUUCGUAAGUCUUAACUGAGAACCAACCACAGGGAAGAAGGUUCUGGAUCAAGAAGUGCUGUUUUAGGACAAGGCUUUGGCUAGACUCAGGAAAACAUCACUGGAAUAUUCAACCAUGCCUCAGAAUUUGAGGUGAUAGUUCCAAGAAAACACACUUUUGCCAUCUUUGUAAUUGCAAGAAUUGGUACCACCAGACCUCUGUUGGCAAUAUUACUCAUUUAAGUAUUCUUCACCUCUCAUCUCUGGUUCCAGGAAUACUGCAUGCCAAAAUGAUUGUGAUGACCAAAUAGAAAACUGAUGUUAUUGCUUCUGCCACCAUCUUCAAAUCCAAAAGACGGUCUUCAUAAUAUAUGCAGACUCCUCUUUCAUGUCUUGGAGUAGACACUUCUCCCAGAUCAGAAAACCUGGACUGAGAAAGCUCAUGUUUGAAAAUUAUCUAAAGAUUAUCAUUGGAGGGAAUUGUAACCAGGCAUGUUGACUGUUUUCAUUAUUGACAUUGGACUAAAUUUUGGGAGCUUGAAUGAUGGAGAUGCUAUUACACAGAGAAGCUCAGGAUGGUGUGAUUGCGAGGCUUCAUUUCAGUGUUCCCAUGAGUAUUAAGUGCACAUAUGUGUAAUUUUCACUUUUAACAGGGUACGUUUAAAAUUGAUGCAAAAAAUUCUUUUUCCAGAUUUUAAAGGACAAAAAGUUGUAAAGGGUAGAAUUUUUACUUCUUAAAUGCUUCCCCCCCUCCUAAUUCUACUCCCCAAGAUUAUCUACUGUUACGGAGUUUUUUGCAUAUCCUUUUCGGGUGUAUUAGUAAACAAAUUGAUAUGGCAGUAGUCCUCCUGGUCCAUACAUUAGCUACCAAUUUUCUAUUCAGUGAACAAGCUUAUAUAUAAUCUAUUUUUAAUUUCUCCAGCUAAGUUGUUGAAAUAGUCCUACUGCUUCCACUUCAUUGGAAUUAAGUAUAUUCAAAAUAUAGGUUUUGAGUCAAUAGUAGAGAUUUCCCAAAAUUGUAUAUAUUAUCCUCAUCAAUCUUGUCUCCCCGUGUUUGUUUAUGAGACUUUUUUUUCUAAAACAGUACAAUCAUUGGAUGCCAAUGUUUUAAUUUUCAUAGUGUGAUACUAGAAAUAAAUCACUUCUCUUGAGUUAUUGUUCAGUUUAGUCAUCUUUAUAUGUCCUUAAACUGUACUGAUCAUUUGUUUUUCAUUUUAUUCUGUGGUUUCUUUUUCAUUUCCAUUGGAAAAUAGGUUUUUUGUUACUGGCUUUUAAGAGAUCAUUUAUGACUAAGGAUUUUAACCAUUUACUAUGCAAUGCAAAUGAAAUACCAUGUUUUUUUUUUAACCAUUUUGCUGUGAUACUUUACUUUUUGGUGUACAGAAGUUGUAUGUUGAAAUAUAAUGUUAUGUUUCAUGCCUUUUGAGUUUUGUGUUUUUACUUAAAACGUGAUUGUAUUACUAUCAUACACUUUUUGUAUUUGUAUUUUAAAUUAUUUUGUCAUUUUAUUUUUUCCCAUCAAUUGUUACUGUGGUUUUAAAGCAUUACUUACUCAAAUUAUUUACCUUAAGCAAUUACCAAUUAUUUUAAUUUCUACCAUAGUAAUUUAGAAAUUCCCACAUAAAAUCAGCUGCAUUUCUAUUUGUUUGCCUUACCUUCUAUUGAUGACUUUAAAAUUACCGAUGAUUUUAGUCUAUUCCAUUGAGUUCUAUCUCAUUUCUCUUCUUUUUUUCAGAAUAUUCCCUGUCUAUAGUCGCAUUUUUUUUCUCUCAGUUGAUGCUUAAAAUUAUUUUGCAAGUUGGAAAAAUGCAGUUUUAAUUUCAUUUGCAUCAAAUUUAAUAGAUUAAUUAGGAGAGAAUAGAUCUCUUUAAAAUUGAGUCUUCCUCUCCAACUGCAAGGUAUGUCUUUCUAUUUUUAAUCAACUUGUUACAUUGGGAAACUGCUAGAUUAUAUUUUUUACUCAUUCCCAGUCAAUUCAUAGUUUUGUUAAUGUAGUGAUGGGGAUUGUGAACCUACAUUAUUUUAUUAUUACUAUGUAAGCCUUUUUAUUUACUUUUCUAAUGGUAUUUCAUUAAAAUACCAAAAUUCUGAUUUUCCUUCUCAGUUCGUGGUUUUUACAGAAUAUAUAGAUGCAGAAACGGCCCUUGGUUAAUUGACAGUGGAUAUUAAUCCUAUUAGUUUAAGGUUUGUUUACUUAGGGGUCAUUUUAGGAAACUUUUCCUUUUAUUGAGCAUUUUUUGCAUAAAUUGUUUACAGGUAUAAUAAAAUGUUUUGUUGUGUAUUAUAGAUUAUCAUGCUUGCAAUUAUAAUUCUUGAUUAGGCUAAAAAGUAACUUUUCAUAAAAAUAAACAUUCUUGCAUCUACUUUCAAUGAACUACAUUUUGUGUAUA